GAUGAACGCUAGCUACAGGCUUAACACAUGCAAGUCGAGGGGCAGCGGGAUUGAAGCUUGCUUCAAUUGCCGGCGACCGGCGCACGGGUGAGUAACGCGUAUCCAACCUUCCGCUUACUCGGGGAUAGCCUUUCGAAAGAAAGAUUAAUACCCGAUGGUAUCUUAAGCACGCAUGAGAUUAAGAUUAAAGAUUUAUCGGUAAGCGAUGGGGAUGCGUUCCAUUAGGCAGUUGGCGGGGUAACGGCCCACCGAGGCGACGAUGCGUAGGGGUUCUGAGAGGAAGGUCCCCCACACUGGUACUGAGACACGGACCAG
rnacentral:rRNA from 1 species